UUGAACAGAUGUCUAUCAUGGAUACGUACCAUUUCAGAAAUACAGUGAAUCUAAGCUACUUAUACAUUUUUACACUUAUGUUGUUUUUCUACAAACCGUGCUGUGGGGAAUUGGUGACCCAACCAGAAUCUUCUUUAACAGCGUAUGAGGGAACAAACAUUACUUUAAAUUGUUCAUUUAACACAGUUACUAGCAGUAUGGCUUGGUACAUUCAGGAGUCUCAAGGAGCACCAGAGAUUCUUAUUCAAAGUUACGAAAAGCCUGAAAAUUAUCCACCAAGGAUCCAUGGAAGAGCACAUGCUGUUUUAAACACAUCUCAGAAAAUCUUCCCCUUGAGUCUGUCUCAACUGAAGAUAUCUGACAGUGCUGUGUAUUACUGUGUCCUGGAUCCACAGUAUGCCAUACCAGCGUAAGCAUGCAUACAAAUAUGAGAAACUGUCAGCAGACUGAAGUCAAAUGGAAAGCUCAAUUUCUACAAGAGCUGCAUUAUCAUACGUUUCACUCUCACAAAACCACACAUUAGAGCAUAUUAUUUUUGCAUGUUUAGUCAUGUGCACUAUAACAAAAGCUUGACCUUAAUGCUGCAUUAACAAAGUUUUUUUUAGCUUUGUUCUUAAUCACAUGAACGGUUUUAUUAAGUCCAUUAUGAAGUCAGCAACCAAUGCUUUAAAUAAAAUAAAUGUGUUUUGA